AUUGAACGCUGGCGGCAGGCCUAACACAUGCAAGUCGAGCGGAUGACGGGAGCUUGCUCCUUGAUUCAGCGGCGGACGGGUGAGUAAUGCCUAGGAAUCUGCCUGGUAGUGGGGGGACAACGUUUCGAAAGGAACGCUAACACCGCAUACGUCCUACGGGAGAAAGCAGGGGACCUUCGGGCCUUGCGCUAUCAGAUGAGCCUAGGUCGGAUUAGCUAGUAGGUGAGGUAAUGGCUCACCUAGGCGACGAUCCGUAACUGGUCUGAGAGGAUGAUCAGUCACACUGGAACUGAGACACGGUCCAGACUCCUACGGGAGGCAGCAGUGGGGAAUAUUGGACAAUGGGCGAAAGCCUGAUCCAGCCAUGCCGCGUGUGUGAAGAAGGUCUUCGGAUUGUAAAGCACUUUAAGUUGGGAGGAAGGGCAGUAAGCGAAUACCUUGCUGUUUUGACGUUACCGACAGAAUAAGCACCGGCUAACUCUGUGCCAGCAGCCGCGGUAAAAC
rnacentral:rRNA from 1 species